AGGAACAGUAAGAGGACGUUGUGCAUGAAUAAUUUGUUUCCACACUACAAAAAGAAUCCCAGGCUUCUUAGGGAACCCAGUGAUUUUUCACACCUUAAAUCUGUUAAAACUUCAUGUUUUCUUCUGCAACAUGCAUAGUUCAAACAUACAAAGAUGAAGCAAAGUCAGACACAUUCCUGAAGGAACCCAAGAAAUUUCUCUUUCUCUCUCUAGAACAAAAUGAAUUCUUUAGACCAUCAGUUCUAACCUUCAAAAACCAAACCUGUUUGUGAGAUCUCCUUUAAAUACUACUGUAGACCCCAGGGUUUAUUCACUAAAUAUUUUGGAUACUUGUUUUAUUUGGAA